rnacentral:tRNA from 1 species
GGACCCAUGGCGCAACGGUAGCGCGUCAGAUUCCAGUUCCAUUGGAGUCUCCUGAAGGUUAUCCGUUCGAAUCGGGUUGGGUUCA